rnacentral:rRNA from 1 species
UACGGAGGGAGCUAGCGUUGUUCGGAAUUACUGGGCGUAAAGCGCACGUAGGCGGCUAUUCAAGUCAGAGGUGAAAGCCCGGGGCUCAACCCCGGAGCUGCCUUUGAAACUAGAUAGCUUGAAUCCAGGAGAGGUGAGUGGAAUUCCGAGUGUAGAGGUGAAAUUCGUAGAUAUUCGGAAGAACACCAGUGGCGAAGGCGACUAACUGGACAGGUAUUGACGCUGAGGUGCGAAAGCGUGGGGAGCAAACAGG